GCUUACACUCUUGACAAAUAUGACAGCUUGAUUGAAACCUAUCGCAUCGAGCUUACGAUUCUUCUCUAGCUAGAUCAAUUUGAUGUUGUAAUGCCAUGGAUAACCGUUAGAAAAGACUAAAAGAAAGGUUUGCAUAUGCAAUUCUUCAUACGAUCAGUUGUCGAUCACAUAACCUCAAAAUCCGGAGAUGAUAAACAACCUAAGGAGGAAGGUGUUUCGCACAUACCCUCUGUGGCAAAUUUGGGUGAAAAAAAAAGAACAUAUAUGCUUUAUUUUCUUACAUUUUAGGGUUAAUACAUGGCCUUAUAUUUUCUAAUAAAUAACGAUAUUUUUUUGUUACAUGUCAUAAUCACAUUCAUUUUGUCAAAGGUCAUUUUGUAGUUAUUUUAAUUUUUUUUGUCACAUGUUAUUUUAUGUUUU